AGACACGGGAGAGCCACGCACAGCCAGACGUGGGCGGGCGAACCCGUAUGGCUCUGGGUCCGUGGAGACACCAGUCUCCAAACACCUGCAUUCACAGGUGCCCCCUGCGGGGGUUUCUUCUCUUCACAGGUCAAGACAAAGGCGAUUUUCAAUCUUCCAGCGCCUUGGAAUUCCCGGACCAAGGCCAAGUCUCCUGUCUGGAAACUUGACAGAGCUGAUGGAGAAGGGUGCCGUGACGGUGUUUGACGAGUGGAUCCGCAAGUAUGGUGACGUGGUUGGGUUUUUCUUCGGAGCCUCGCCUAUGUUGAUCAUCAAAAACUUGGACCUGAUUAAAAAGAUUCAAGUACACGACUUCUCCAACUUUCAUGACAG